GUCAUUCGUCUUCGGGAUACUGUACGGUGCCUUGUGCCCAUAACGUCAGAUUUCCAACAUUUUGCAUCAUGGAGAUGGAAAGGUGUCAUCUAACCGUGUGACCGGAAAUUGCUGUCCGGAUGCUGAAAUGUCGUCUUGUACCAGAAACUUUAAUGCAAUGGUUUCAAUUACUAGAUUAAUUCAAGCUGUUGAAUGAUGGUGUUUGCUGCUCAAUGUGUAGAUGGUGAAAGGUGUGCUUGACUCGGAAUAAGCUGCUGUUGUCUCUGGUGUUGGUGAAUCUACAGUUACUUUGCUUACCUUCUUCAGCUUCUCUGGACACAUGUUUUUUUUACAGAUUCAACUUGUUAAACUGUUUGAUGCCAAAGUUAGUCAGAACUCCAACUGCUGCUGCCUCCUCACACCUACAGGCAGAAAAGUUACUAUAUUUCUUCAGAAAAUUGGAAAGCUGUUGGAGUAAUCUAGUCUUCAUCCUCACUUGAUUAAUUUCGUGCCACCUAGUGAAAGGCGUGACGAAUUCCAGUUGCGCUGCUGCGUGCUAAGCAAGCAAUAUCCAGCCGUUCCGCCGUUCAGUCAUUUGAAAAGGAAUCUAUUGGCUGUCGCUAGUUAGCUAAAAUGUCCACCAGGUGAUUUCGCAAGUAAAUAGCACCUUUGCCAAAAUCAUCGGACUUGAAAGUACCUGUACAUUUUGCCGAAAUGUUGUAUCUCGUACUGGCCUCGUGUGUCUUGCUGCCUGUAGACAAGGUUCAACAGUCACAGUCAGGUUAUAUUUCUGCAUUGUUGUUUUACACAACUUGGUUUUUGGGUGCGGCCAGCCGGUGAAAGGUGUUAUCAAAUCAAGUUGAGCUGUUAUUGUUAUGGAGUCUGUGGUGGCGGUGUUAUCCUAGAGUGUGUUGGUGUUCUGACUGUUUGUGUUAAGUGUAUUUUCUUCGUCAGAUAACAUUUUUUCAUUCUUGAUUGAAGUAGGUUAUGAUGUAGAUAAUUGCACAUCUGGGCUCCCUCUUCUCUGGUCCCGUUUCCCUAAUAAUUAACCAACGCCCGCCGGUGGUCGCUCACUCGCUAUGAAACUAGGAGGAUGAGGAGGGCUCUGGUCGAACGGGGACUUGAAAGGUUGAUGAUCCGAUGAAAACUUUUGGAAGAUCAUGAAUCUAAUUAGGAAUUCUACUUACGUCUAAUUCUAUGAUUAAUCACAACCUAGCAAAACUGGUCUCACACUCUUUUCUCUUAUUCCAUGUCCAGGGAAUGUAAAAAGAUAAUUAUUUAAACCUUGUCCGAAACAAGAGCUUACAUUGGUAAUAUGAAAAAUAAUGAUAAUAGAGAAUAAAUUAAUAAGAAAAAUGAAAUUAACCUGAAAUAUAUAUUAUGUUAUAGCAAAAUUUACAAAUAAAACAUUGAGAAUCUUCUAUUUAUUGUUCAUACUUACGUUUCGUUAUCCUUAUAAUAUGUUGCAUGGAUAUGACAUGACAGAUGAACAACACAUUAAUAUAUUCCACCAAGGACAGUAGCAGCUUUAAGCACAGUUAUCACCAUCUCCUCAUUGGGCAGCAUCUACAUUAACAGCUUGAACAUCAUACAACAUACAACCAUCAAAACCUGCAGGGAAAAAGACAGAUUUUGGUUAAAACAGGAAUAGAUAUACCACAGGCAAGGCCCACUGAAGAA